AGAGUUUGAUCAUGGCUCAGAAUCAACGCUGGCGGCGUGCCUAACACAUGCAAGUCGAACGAGAAAGUGGAGCAAUCCAUGAGUACAGUGGCGACCGGGUGAGUAACACGUGACCAACCUGCCCUCGAGUGGGGAAUAACCCCGGGAAACCGGGGCUAAUACCGCAUAACAUCGCAAGAUCAAAGCAGCAAUGCGCUUGAGGAGGGGGUCGCGGCUGAUUAGCUAGUUGGUAGGGUAACGGCCUACCAAGGCGAAGAUCGGUAUCCGGCCUGAGAGGGCGCACGGACACACUGGAACUGAAACACGGUCCAGACUCCUACGGGAGGCAGCAGUGGGGAAUUUUGCGCAAUGGGGGAAACCCUGACGCAGCAACGCCGCGUGGAGGAUGAAGUCCCUUGGGACGUAAACUCCUUUCGACCCGGACGAUACUGACGGUACGGGUGGAAGAAGCACCGGCUAACUCUGUGCCAGCAGCCGCGGUAAUACAGAGGGUGCGAGCGUUGUUCGGAAUUAUUGGGCGUAAAGGGCGCGUAGGCGGCGCGGUAAGUCACCUGUGAAAUCUCCUGGCUCAACUGGGAGCUUGCAGGCGAAACUGCCGUGCUGGAGUGUGGGAGAGGUGCGUGGAAUUCCUGGUGUAGCGGUGAAAUGCGUAGAUAUCAGGAGGAACACCUGUGGCGAAAGCGGCGCACUGGACCACAACUGACGCUGAGGCGCGAAAGCUAGGGGAGCAAACAGGAUUAGAUACCCCCGUAGUCC
rnacentral:rRNA from 1 species